UACGUAGGGUGCGAGCGUUAAUCGGAAUUACUGGGCGUAAAGCGUGCGCAGGCGGUUCGUCGUGUCAGAUGUGAAAGCCCCGGGCUCAACCUGGGAAUUGCAUUUGAGACUGCGUAGCUAGGGUGCGGAAGAGGGAAGCGGAAUUUCCGGUGUAGCGGUGAAAUGCGUAGAUAUCGGAAGGAACACCAGUGGCGAAAGCAGCACUCUGGGACGUGACUGACGCUGAGACGCGGAAAAGCGUGGGGAGCAAACAGGGAUUAAGAAACCCU
rnacentral:rRNA from 1 species